rnacentral:rRNA from 1 species
AUGGCACGAGUCCGUUGGGAUCCAGUAUUUACAAAACGCGUUUAUAGAAAAACUACUAAUUCUCGUUUUUCCACCAGCUUCCUCAAGGACAUAGAUAAAAUCUGUAGAAAGUUCCUCUGGGCGCAAGAAGAAAACCUUACGGGUGGCAAGAGCAAGGUCAGUUGGCGCCAAGUGUGCUCUCCAGUAGAGCUGGGCGGCCUUGGGAUCCAUGAUCUUCAGAAGUUCGCCAGAGCGCUUCGUCUACGUUGGCUGUGGUUGUCUUGGGCAGAACCAAACAGGCCUUGGGUUGGCUCGGCCAUCCCAUGCGAUGAGCGGGACCGAGCCCUUUUUGCCGCUGCCACAACUGUCAGGAUUGGCGACGGCAAAACUGCUCUUUUCUAG